rnacentral:rRNA from 1 species
CCUACGGGUGGCAGCAGUGAGGAAUAUUGGUCAAUGGACGCAAGUCUGAACCAGCCAUGUCGCGUGCAGGAUGACGGCUCUAUGAGUUGUAAACUGCUUUUGUACGAGGGUAAACUCCGUCACGUGUAUCUUGUUGCACGUACCGUAUGAAUAAGGACCGGCUAAUUCCGUGCCAGCAGCCGCGGUAAUACGGAGGGUCCGAGCGUUAUCCGGAUUUAUUGGGUUUAAAGGGAGCGUAGGCGGUUUGAUAAGUGAGUGGUGAAAUGUCGGGGCUCAACCCCGGAACUGCCGCGAGAACUGUUGGGCUGGAGUAUACUUGCGGUAGGCGGAAUGUAUGGUGUAGCGGUGAAAUGCUUAGAGAUCAUGCAGAACACCGAUUGCGAAGGCAGCUUACCGAACUGUAACUGACGUUGAGGCUCGAAGGCGUGGGUAGCAAACAGGAUUAGAUACCCCUGUAGUC